AAAUUUUUCUACCUAUCUGCAUGGGGAUAAGAACUUAAAACAGGUCAAGGGAAUUCCUGAUCUUAAGAACUUUCCUCUUUGUAGAUCCAAAGAGAUUGCUUGAGGCGGCUUUUCAGCACCAUGAACAAGUAUAGUACACCAGAGGUGGGGAAAAAAUUCCAAUCAUUCUGGUUGGACCUUGUGGGAAAUUCUACUCAAGCAUCAAGACCCAACAACCAGAGGGAAGCAACCACAAGUUUCAGUCUAUAACAGUGAUGGCGAAGCACUUCGGCAUGCGCGUUCCGCACAUGCGCUCCUCAAAACUGCAACCAGGAAGAGGAGCUGCCCAGGGAGCAUACAUGCACCGAACAAGGUGAAGAGCCCGCAAUGGAGGCAAUCAUUCCAAGUCAAGAGGGAAUCUGCGUAGUCCGUCUCAAUAGCCACACUGUUGGGAGGAAUCUCCCUGGAGGAUCGAACUCAGGUCACAUCUGGGUUGGGUUGCCUGAAUGCAGUGAGGUCCCAGGAGUUUCCAACCGCCUUCAUUCAUCGUCUUCUGUUACACACAAACUGUUCUAAUCAAAGAGAUUUAUUCCCCUUCCCCUUCAGCUGACAUCAACUAAAUAUAAAUUCCUCAUUAA